GACGAACGCUGGCGGCGUGCUUAACACAUGCAAGUCGAGCGGUAAGGCCCUUUCGGGGGUACACGAGCGGCGAACGGGUGAGUAACGCGUGGGUGACCUGCCCUCAGCUCUGGGAUAAGCCUGGGAAACCGGGUCUAAUACUGGAUAUGACUCCAUGACGCAUGUUGUGGGGUGGAAAGCCUUGUGCGGCUGAGGAUGGG
rnacentral:rRNA from 1 species